CGGCAGCACGGGAGUAAUCCUGGUGGCGAGUGGCGAACGGGUGAGUAAUAUAUCGGAACGUGCCCAAUCGUGGGGGAUAACGCAGCGAAAGCUGUGCUAAUACCGCAUAAGAUCUAUGGAUGAAAGCGGGGGAUCGCAAGACCUCGCGCGAAUGGAGCGGCCGAUAUCAGAUUAGCUAGUUGGUGGGGUAAAGGCUCACCAAGGCGACGAUCUGUAGCUGGUCUGAGAGGACGACCAGCCACACUGGAACUGAGACACGGUCCAGACUCCUACGGGAGGCAGCAGUGGGGAAUUUUGGACAAUGGGCGCAAGCCUGAUCCAGCAAUGCCGCGUGCAGGAUGAAGGCCUUCGGGUUGUAAACUGCUUCUGUACGGAGCGAAACGGUCAUCUCUAAUAAAGGUGGCUAAUGACGGUACCGUAAGAAUAAGCACCGGCUAACUACGUGCCAGCAGCCGCGGUAAUACGUAGGGUGCGAGCGUUAAUCGGAAUUACUGGGCGUAAAGCGUGCGCAGGCGGUUUUGUAAGACAGAUGUGAAAUCCCCGGGCUCAACCUGGGACCUGCAUUUGUGACUGCAAAGCUAGAGUACGGUAGAANAUAUGCGGANGAACNCCGAUGGCGAAGGCAUCCCCUGGACCUGUACUGACNCUCAUG
rnacentral:rRNA from 1 species